AGAACGAACGCUGGCGGCAUGCCUAACACAUGCAAGUCGAACGCUUCCGGGGCUUCGGUCGCGGAGGAGUGGCGCACGGGUGAGUAGCGCGUGGGAACCUGCCCUGUUGUGGGGGAUAACCGAGGGAAACUUCGGCUAAUACCGCAUACGCCCCGGGACUUGGUCUUCGGAUUAGGUCUGGGGGGAAAGAUUGAUCGCAGCAGGAGGGGCCCGCGUUGGAUUAGCUGGUUGGUGGGGUAACGGCUCACCAAGGCGAUGAUCCGUAGCUGGUCUGAGAGGAUGAUCAGCCACACUGGGACUGAGACACGGCCCAGACUCCUACGGGAGGCAGCAGUGGGGAAUAUUGGACAAUGGGGGCAACCCUGAUCCAGCAAUGCCGCGUGAGUGAUGAAGGCCUUAGGGUUGUAAAGCUCUUUCGCCCGCGACGAUGAUGACGGUAGCGGGAGAAGAAGCCCCGGCUAACUUCGCGCCAGCAGCCGCGGU
rnacentral:rRNA from 1 species